rnacentral:lncRNA from 1 species
CAGCAGUUCUGCGCCUCCUCGCCCGACUCUGGGAAGCUGAAAACUUGUUUUUCUGCUUGCCUGUCCCCGGAUCCAAACAGCCCCGACGGCCAAUGGCAGCGCUCCCGGCCCCGCCUGCCUGCGCGGAGCCGCCUCUGGCUUCCCUGAGCUGGAGCUGCGGGAUUUAUCCACGUGCGCAGUGGGGACUGUAAAUCACGGCAGGUCGGGGCCCCGCGAUCCCUGACGUUAGGAGAGGGGGCGGGGGUGAGGAGGCGUCCGUGCCGGGAACGAUCCCGGCCUGGAGCUGGGCUGCGUGUCGGCACAUCACAGAUAAUAAAACUGCAUCUUCCUGCGGCGCACGGGGCCGGCGUGUCAAACCAAGAUGCUGUAGCGGAUGCCUGGUGGCCAGGAGCGUCCCGUCAGAAAGCCACGGUCCAUGCACCACACAUCCCACACACAUCGUAAAGAUACAGUAAUGUUCUGGAGGCUGGAGUCCGAGAUCCCGGGGGUGGAACCUGUCCCAGGCUGCUCUCCGGCUCCUGGUGAUCGCCGUCGCCAAACGCUGGGUUCCUGGGCUCGUGGAAGUGUCCCGGGAUCUCCGCCUUCACGGUCACACGGGCUUCUCCCUGCGCACCUCAUCCCGAGGUAGGGGGUUCGGCUCUCAGGCUCUCGGCGUGGACCGGGCGGGCACCAGUCCAUCCAGACGCUUGCUGCGGGGGCAGCGAUGAGCGGUGCCCGGCUCUGGACUCGUGCCUGAGACUGCUGAGGAGUGAGGCCAGCGGCCCCAGGGGCAGGAGGGGUCUGUGCUGCGGGCACGUAGUCCCGGGCUGGCCCUGAGCCCCUGGUGCCCACGGGGGUCCCAAUCCCUGGGGACACUGGGUUGGGGUCCCUGGAAGCCGUGUCUGUUCAAGCGACCGGCUGGGAGGGUUCUUGGGGGGAGCGUGGCCACGAAGCGAUGGCCCCAGCCUGCCCAGCCCGGCUCCUGACCUUCCGCCCCGGCUCUCAGCGGCUCCAGGGAAGACCCCGCUGUUUUCAUUUUUCCUUUUUUUUUUUUUUUGACCUAAAGCUAGAUUUAACUGUAAAGAGCAAUAAAUUAUGAAUCAGGAAAAACAUCUCUUGUCCCCACA